UAAAUCAAACGUCUAAGUAUCCUGAUGCUUUUGACAAGUAUCAUGAUUAAAAACAUAGGGAUUGUUUAAAAUCAUAACGAUGGAAGAACUAUAAUGAUGGCCGUAUCGUUAUGUUUAUACAUGAACCUCACUCAUACUGUUUUGCUAAGGAUGCAUGGGUCCUCAUUUCAGAAUCUUGGAUCGUGAGGGCUUAUUUAAAGUUAUGUGUCUUGUUGUGUAUGGAUUCAAAAUUAUAUAAAGUUAAAAAGAAUGCAUCUACAAAAUAAACACGGAAGGGGUUUGCCAUUUUGGCCAAAAAAUGUACCUAUUUUGAUAUAACAUAUUCACUUAAUUUCACUACCUAUAGUUAUGUUAAUAUUAAAGAAAGAAUGACCUGUACCAGAGACAUAAAUAUUUUUAAUUAAUCCGCACAAACGUAGUGACUUUUGAACAGGGAAAUUUCGCGCAAACGUAAUGUGUUUAAUCGCGCAAACGUGGAUUUUUUUUCGCGCAAAUGUGGGACGAAUUCGCGCAAACGUAAUGCGCCGGUGUAUAUAUAUCUCUGCCUAUAUACUUAUAUACAAUAUUUAAAAUAUGUUUAUAUGUUUAUAUAACUGCACGUAAUCUGUAUCAUCACUCAUAAUUCAUAAAUAUACAGCUACCCUCAAAUUUCUGGAGUUCAUUUUGGAACUUAUUUGAAAUGUGAACUUACGAAAGGAAACAGUAAGAUUCCCAAUAGCACAUUUAUGUAUGUGAAAUGUAAGUCAUUUUUAUAUAAAAUCUCGCAAAAUUAUGACCGAUAUUUUUAGCAUAUCCCCGUAUACCCAAUAAUAGGGGAAAAAACGUCAAUAUAGCACGGUGCAAUUUACCUAUAUAAACGUUAUUAUCAAAUGUUUAUUUUUUAUCGAGUUUGCCAAUUUCCGAGUCCAGUCUGUAUUGUCUUGAAAUGGCAGUAUUUACAAUACUAAAAACAUUAAGACUUGAUGAAUAAGUUAACGGAAUAUAGAAAUAAUGAAAAUGCUUCAGCGGGAAUCCCAGUUACGUAAUCGGGUUUAGUCUGGAUUCGGUUCUAAUUUUUAAACGCCGGAAAGAUCUGGCGAAAGAUCUAGAUGUUAUGACGCAGACGACACCAAGGACGCUGUGCCCGAUUGUUCAUUAGAAAUGUUGUACCUGCUAUACAAACAUACACGGACAUUUGAAUAUUAAAACAUUGGAAAUGGCAUAAAAUAAGCAGUCCAUGCGGAGGCGGAGUAUUUUAUGAGAAGAAGGUCGCUUUUCAACUUAAAAAAUGGGGGACGACUUGUCUUGUGAACAGAGCAGCCAACGCAACAAGAGGCAGAUAAUUUAUUUUGGUUUGUCAAAUAUGUUCCUUGGUGUAUGAUCAGAUCUGCAUUAUAGUAUUAGUAUCAAACAAACUGUAAAUAAAAGAAAAUGAUGUUUUAGCUGCUGUAGAAAAUUUUCGAAGGAUAUGAUUACUGAUUAUGAACAACAAGAUUAUAUCAUCAUGACCAUUGGAAUCUUACAAGGAGAAGUGCAAGUAAAUGAAGGAAUUCAUGUCACAUGUGCAAAAAUUAUAAUAUUGUAAACAGGAGAACAGUCUUAUAUAAUACUAACAGUUAAACAGUUUUGUGAGACCAAGAGCAAGGCAGAGUAAACUUGGAGUGUAUAUAUGUCAACCACAAGUACAUUAAUACCACAUAAUGCUAAUGAAAAAGAACUAUGGUACACAUUUUGUAUGAUUGUGAAUAUCUGGUCCCCAAAAAAUGUAGUUGUUAAAUAAAUAGAAUUGAAAUAACUAAA